UACGGAGGGUGCAAUCGUUGCUCGGAAUCAUUGGGCGUAAAGCGCACGUAGGCGGCCCGGUAAGUCGGAUGUGAAAGCCCUCGGCUCAACUGAGGAAGUGCAUUCGAAACUGCCAGGCUUGAAUAUGGAAGAGGGUCGCGGAAUUCCCGGUGUAGAGGUGAAAUUCGUAAAUAUCAGGUGGAACACCAGUGGCGAAGGCGGCUUUCUGGACGGUAACUGACGCUGAGACGCGAAAGCGUGGGGAGCAAACAGG
rnacentral:rRNA from 1 species